rnacentral:rRNA from 1 species
AUUGAACGCUGGCGGCAUGCCUUACACAUGCAAGUCGAACGGUAACGGGCCUUCGGGUGCCGCCGGGUGUCGAACGGGUGAGUAAUACAUCGGAACGUACCCGAUCGUGGGGGAUAACGAGGCGAAACCUUUUCUAAUACCUCAUACGAUCUACUGUUGAAAACAGGGGACCGCAAGGCCUUGCGCGGACGGUGCGGCCGCUGGCAGAUUAGGUAGUUGUUGGGUUAAAAGCUUACCAAGCCGACGAUCUGUAGCUGGUCUGAGAGGAUGAUCAGCCACACUGGGACUGAGACACGGCCCAGACUCCUACGGGAGGCAGCAGUGGGGAAUUUUGGACAAUGGGCGCAAGCCUGAUCCAGCAAUGCCGCGUGCAGGAUGAAGGCCUUCGGGUUGUAAACUGCUUUUGUACGGAAAGAAAAGCCUUCUUUUAAUACAGGAGGGUCAUGACGGUACCGUAAGAAUAAGCACCGGCUAACUACGUG